rnacentral:rRNA from 1 species
UACGGGGGGGGCAAGCGUUGUUCGGAAUUACUGGGCGUAAAGGGCUCGUAGGCGGCCAACUAAGUCAGACGUGAAAUCCCCAGGCUCAACCUGGGAACUGCGUCUGAUACUGGAUGGCUUGAAUCCGGGAGAGGGAUGCAGAAUUCCAGGUGUAGCGGUGAAAUGCGUAGAUAUCUGGAGGAAUACCGGUGGCGAAGGCAGGUCUCUGGGCAUUACCUGACGCUGAGGAGCGAAAGUGUGGGGAGCGAACAGG